AGCGCUGUAAGUCGUGUGAAUCUCCGGCUCACGGGAGGGUGCGCGGAAACUGCGGGCUAGAGUACGGGAUGGAGAGUAGAAUUCCUGUGUAGCGGUGAAAUGCGUAGAUAUCAGGAGGAAUACCGGUGGUGUAGACGGCUCUCUGGACCGUAACUGACGCUGAAACACGAAAGCGUGGGUAGCAAACAGGAUUAGAUACCUGGUAGUCCACGCCCUAAACGAUGCAUAUUUGGUGUAGGCAGUUCAUUCUGUCUGUGCCGGGAGCUAACGCGUUAAAUAUGCCGCUGGGGAGUACAGUCGCAAGGCUGAAACUCAAAGGAAUUGACGGGGGCCCGCACAAGCGGUGGAGCAUGUGGUUCAAUUCGACGCAACGCGAAGAACCUUACCUGGGCUCGAACGGCUAGUCAACGAUCGUGGAAACACGGUUACUCCGCAAGGGGGUCUAGUCGAGGUGCUGCAUGGCUGUCGUCAGCUCGUGUCGUGAGAUGUUGGGUUAAGUCCCGCAACGAGCGCAACCCUCGUCCUGUGUUGCCAUGCCGAAAGGCGGAACUCGCAGGAGACCGCCAGCGAUAAGCUGGAGGAAGGUGGGGAUGACGUCAAGUCCUCAUGGCCUUUAUGUCCAGGGCUACACACGUGCUACAAUGGCCGGUACAAUGCGCUGCUAAGUCGCAAGACGGAGCCAAUCGCAAAAAACCGGUCUCAGUUCGGAUUGCAGGCUGCAACUCGCCUGCAUGAAGCUGGAAUCGCUAGUAAUGGCGGAUCAGAACGCCGCCGUGAAUACGUUCCCGGGCCUUGUACACACCGCCCGUCACAUCACGAAAGUGGAUUGUACUAGAAGUCCGCAGGCUGACCCGCAAGGGGAGCAGCGGCCCAAGGUAUGAUUCAUGAUUGGGGUGAAGUCGUAACAAGGUAACC
rnacentral:rRNA from 1 species